rnacentral:rRNA from 1 species
UAAGCCAUGCAUGUCUCAGUACAAGCCAAAUUAAGGUGAAACCGCGAAAGGCUCAUUAAAUCAGUUAUGGUUCCUUAGAUCGUACCCACAAUUACUUGGAUAACUGUGGUAAUUCUAGAGCUAAUACAUGCAAACAGAGCUCCGACCGGAGACGGAAGGAGUGCUUUUAUUAGAUCAAAACCAAUCGGUGGCGAGUUCGCUCGUUAUCGUACAACUUGGUGACUCUGAAUAACUUUACGCUGAUCGCACGGUCAUCGCACCGGCGACGCAUCUUUCAAAUGUCUGCCUUAUCAACUGUCGAUGGUAGGUUCUGCGCCUACCAUGGUUGUAACGGGUAACGGGGAAUCAGGGUUCGAUUCCGGAGAGGGAGCCUGAGAAACGGCUACCACAUCCAAGGAAGGCAGCAGGCGCGCAAAUUACCCACUCCCGGCACGGGGAGGUAGUGACRAAAAAUAACGAUACGGGACUCAUCCGAGGCCCCGUAAUCGGAAUGAGUACACUCUAAACCCUUUAACGAGGAUCAAUUGGAGGGCAAGUCUGGUGCCAGCAGCCGCGG